GUUGAUAAUUCAGUUUGCCAUCAUUAAAAUAAAUUAAAUGUAAAAAUAUAAUAAAAAUUUAAAGUAAAUUUAAGCUGUAAUAAUAAGUGACAAUAUUACUGUUUUUACUGAAUUUAUCAGCUUUGGUGAGUAUAAAAUACUUUUUUGGAAAAAUAAAUAAAUGAAAUAAUACUAUCUUUUUUAGCCUCCAGCAUGUAAUUUGUUGUAGUUGCCUUAAUGUUGGUAAUUAUUGCUCUGGUUUCCUCUGUUUUGUGGAGAUGUGGUUGACAUCCAAAUGUUAUAUCGCUGAUCUAAUAUGUUUUCUGUGUCCCGAUAUAUUUGUCAUAUGCCUAUUAAUAUCUGUGAUUGUAAGUAUAUUUAAAAAAUUACCAUAAAAUAUAUUUGGACAUAGCAUAUUAAAUGUUUACAUUAAGAAUAAAAUUCGUUUUUUUUUUUUCUGGUUUAAGUCAUAAGAGGUAUAUUGAAAGUCAUAGACCUGUGUUCUGUUGUUAUCAACUGUCCCUGUUGUGUGCUGUCAAGCAUUAAUUAUUCAUUUUUUGUUCAUUCUUUUUGUUUAGAUUGAUCAUCAAAUCUUGAGGUUUGUUUGCAUUUUUUGGUUGUUGUACAUUUAAAGGUGCAGUAUGCAGGAUUAAGAAAAUGUGACAUCUUGUAAAUCAGAUAAGUUUUAGCUUAUGGGGUCAACAGAUAUUAACAAGUUAAGUCUGACAUUUUCUUUUCUGAUUACAGCAUUGCGAGCACUACAGACUCUCCACUGCACAAUAUCUGACCAUCUAUUCAGAGCACGACCUGCAUUUUUCACUGCAGCUGAACACCUGGUUUUGGAUUUUCUCCAAGCAGCAGUUCUUCUGAAUUGUUCUUCCCAUCCACCCCCUCCAAACCCAUCCCCUCCACCUCAACCCAACCCCCCACCCACCCACCCAGCUUCAGCAUUUCGUGAAGUAAGUGACUCAAAAUAUCCUGCACAAAAAUGCUUAUUGAAUACAAUGCUUAGAAUACAAUACUCAAAAUAUCAGAAAUAUCAAAAUAUCCUGCACAAAAAUGCUUAUUGAAUACAAUACUUAGAAUACAAUAGAAAAUGUGACAUCUUGUAAAUCAGAUAAGUUUUAGCUUAUGGGGUCAACAGAUAUUAACAAGUUAAGCAUUUCGUGAAGUAAGUGACUCAAAAUAUCCUGCACAAAAAUGCUUAUUAAUACAAUACUUUCUGACUGUAGCAUUAAAACCAUUUUACAGUCAUUUUUAAUCAGAUCUGUUCAAACUAAUAAUGAAGAAAAGGUUUGUUUGCUAAACUUAUUUAAGAGAUGAUGUGAAAUCAUCUGCUUAUUAUUAUUAUUAUUACUAUUAUUAUUAUUGAAAAACAGUCAGAACAGAUGAUCAAGAUGUUAAACUUGGAUCAUUUAAUCCCANNNNNNNNNNNNNNNNNNNNNNNNNNNNNNNNNNNNNNNNNNNNNNNNNNNNNNGCUAAGAACUCUAUAUAAACUACAUAGUGACCAUCUGUGACAACUUCCAACCACCUAGUACCAGCAUAGCAACUACCCCGGUUACCAUAGCAACCGCCUAGCAACCACCCAGAGCACCCUAGCAACCGCCUAGCAACACAUUAGCAACCACCCAAAUUACCUUAGCAACUGCCUAGCAACCACACAGGUUACCAUAGCAACCGCCUAGCAACCGCCUAGCAACACCUUAGCAACCACCCAAAGUACCUUAGCAACUGCCUAGCAACCGCCUAGCAACCACCCAGAACACCCUAGCAACCGCUUAGCAACACAUUAGCAACCACCCAAAACACCCUAGCAACCGCCUAGCAACACAUUAGCAACCACCCAAAACACCCUAGCAACCGCCUAGCAACACAUUAGCAACCACCCAAAACACCCUAGCAACCGCCUAGCAACACAUUAGCAACCACCCAAAACACCCUAGCAACCGCCUAGCAACCACCCAGGUUACCAUAGCAACCGCCUAGCAACCACCCAGGUUACCAUAGCAACCGCCUAGCAACCACCCAGGUUACCAUAGCAACCGCCUAGCAACACCUUAGCAACCACC
ensembl:lncRNA